AGUGAACGCUGGCGGUAGGCCUAACACAUGCAAGUCGAACGGCAGCACAGUAAGAGCUUGCUCUUACGGGUGGCGAGUGGCGGACGGGUGAGGAAUACAUCGGAAUCUACUUUUUCGUGGGGGAUAACGUAGGGAAACUUACGCUAAUACCGCAUACGACCUACGGGUGAAAGCAGGGGAUCUUCGGACCUUGCGCGAUUAAAUGAGCCGAUGUCGGAUUAGCUAGUUGGCGGGGUAAAGGCCCACCAAGGCGACGAUCCGUAGCUGGUCUGAGAGGAUGAUCAGCCACACUGGAACUGAGACACGGUCCAGACUCCUACGGGAGGCAGCAGUGGGGAAUAUUGGACAAUGGGCGCAAGCCUGAUCCAGCCAUACCGCGUGGGUGAAGAAGGCCUUCGGGUUGUAAAGCCCUUUUGUUGGGAAAGAAAAGCAGCAGGUUAAUACCCCGCUGUUCUGACGGUACCCAAAGAAUAAGCACCGGCUAACUCCGUG
rnacentral:rRNA from 1 species